CGCGGGGGGGCCGGGGCGGCGGAGCCAUGGAGCCCGCGGGGCCGGAUCCCUCCCUGUACACGGUGAAGGCCCUGCUCAUCCUGGACAGCCUCGGGCAGCGCCUCCUGGCCAAGUACUACGAUGGUACCUUCCCCACGGCCAAGGAACAGGCAGCCUUUGAGAGGAGCGUCUUCAGCAAGACCCACCAGGCAGGCGGUGAGAUCGCCUGUCUGGAAGGACUCACCGUCGUCUACAGGAGCAGCGUCGAUCUCUUCUUCUACGUGGUAGGGGGCUGCCAGGAGAACGAGCUGAUGCUGUUGGCUGUGCUCACCUGCCUCCUCGACGCCCUCAGCUACCUCCUGCGGAAGGAGGUGGAGAAGCGCUGGCUGCUGGACAACAUGGAGGGGAUGUUCCUGGUGGUGGAUGAGAUCGUGGACAGGGGGGUGAUCCUGGAGAGCGACCCCCAGCAAGUGAUCCAGCGGCUGAGCCUGCACGCCCCAGAGCCGGCACCGUACGGCUUUGUCCUCUUCGACUACCUGGCGGGCAGCUCGGAGCGGAGGGACGCAGGAAACAAGGAAUAGGCAGCGCCGAGGAGGUUGAUGUCAACCCUCUCUCCAAGCAAAGCGUGUCCCAGCAGGUCCUGCAGCCCACAAAGGAGCACAUCGAGGCAUCCCCACUGACGUGACGGCACUGGGGUCUCCCGGAAAGGUGAGACCCCAGCGCUGGGUGAUGCCAGGCAUCAGGACACACAGACCCUCCCUGGCAUCCCCCCACUCCAACACCAGCCCAAACCCCACACACCAGCCUGGAUCCCCCGGAUGGCUCCUCCCUGGCUGCACCGCCUCCAGAAGCCCCUUGCUAGAUCUCAUAUCUGAUCCCAGCAUUAAUCAUCUCAAGGGAAAAAUUAAGCACUAAUGGAGGGGAAUUGAUUUGCCAUUCCUGCUCGCUCCCAGCCGGAACCACCUACAAAUAAAGUUUUC